UACGUAGGGUGCAAGCGUUAUCCGGAAUUAUUGGGCGUAAAGAGCUCGUAGGCGGUUUGUCGCGUCUGCUGUGAAAACUGGAGGCUCAACCUCCAGCCUGCAGUGGGUACGGGCAAACUAGAGUGCGGUAGGGAGAUUGGAAUUCCUGGUGUAGCGGUGGAAUGCGCAGAUAUCAGGAGGAACACCGAUGGCGAAGGCAGAUCUCUGGGCCGUAACUGACGCUGAGGAGCGAAGACAUGGGGAGCGAACAGG
rnacentral:rRNA from 1 species